UACGGAGGGUGCAAGCGUUAUCCGGAUUCACUGGGUUUAAAGGGUGCGUAGGUGGGCAGGUAAGUCAGUGGUGAAAUCUCCGGGCUUAACCCGGAAACUGCCAUUGAUACUAUCUGUCUUGAAUACCGUGGAGGUGAGCGGAAUAUGUCAUGUAGCGGUGAAAUGCUUAGAUAUGACAUAGAACACCAAUUGCGAAGGCAGCUCACUACGGAUUUAUUGACACUGAGGCACGAAAGCGUGGGGAUCAAACAGG
rnacentral:rRNA from 1 species